UACGUAGGGUGCAAGCGUUGCCCGGAAUUAUUGGGCGUAAAGAGCUCGUAGGCGGUCUGUUGCGUCGGCUGUGAAAACCCGGGGCUCAACUCCGGGCCUGCAGCCGAUACGGGCAGACUAGAGUUCGGCAGGGGAGACUGGAAUUCCUGGUGUAGCGGUGAAAUGCGCAGAUAUCAGGAGGAACACCGGUGGCGAAGGCGGGUCUCUGGGCAACAACUGACGCUGAGGAGCGAAAGCGUGGGGAGCGAACAGG
rnacentral:rRNA from 1 species